ensembl:processed_transcript
GCCAGAUCCGUGACUUCCGCGUUACCUGCGGAACUUUAGGUGGAGACCGAAAAGGCAGUGGCGGCGGUGGCAGCGGCACUUCCAACCUGCGCAGCUGCGGUAUAAAUCCUCUAAAGCUCCUUGUCUGCUGGAACACGGUCCAAGAAUGAAAUCCUGUGAGAAUUCUGGGUGCUUAGGAGAAAACUCUUAAGACAAGACAAGAAUCUCAUGACCUUAUAGGGGAAUUUUAAUCCAGCAACAUGGAUGCUCUGACAAGGGAUCACAUCCAAAGAUCUUCUAAACCCAUAGGAACUGGCCAGAAUACAGAAAAACCCUGGAAUAUGGUAUGGUCUGGCUGGAAUACAGACACACCCUUAGUACACACCUCUAAUCCCUAACAUGAAGAUAAGGCAAGUUUGUAGAAGGAAGCAGCCUUGUUUGAAAGUGAUGUCUAAUUAAGGGACAAUGUGAUGAAUCAGAGAAAGAUUUGACAGAAUGAGUCAGAGAUAGGAUAUAUCCAACUCACAGGAGAACAGCAGAGGAAAGAGGCUAUGAGAGAGAGAGACAGAGAGAGAGAGAGAGACAGAGACUAAGACGGGGAGACAGGUGUGUGUGGAGAUUUUACCAGGAUGGUUUUACAGAAACAGGUUAGACACAAGUGAUGACAUAAGGAGCCAGAGAAUGAGAAGGAGCCAGAAGAUUAGAACAUGUUGCCAAAGUGAAGUAUAAAGCCAAGCAGAGCAAUUCAGUCAGAAACCAAGAGAAGACUGAAUCAGUCAGCUUGGAAGAUUAGAUUGUACGGAGAGGCUUGAAGCUUCCAGGCCUAGGCCUAGGGAUAGAACAGGCAAAAGCUCUAGGCUCAGCCCAAGCCCU